AAUGAAAUUUCUGGGUCAUAUGGUAACUCUGUGCUGAAGUUUUUGAGGAACUAUCGAACUGUUUUCCAAACAUUAAUUUGGGAACUGUGCCAUUUUCUAUUCCCACCAGCAAU
rnacentral:pre_miRNA from 1 species